rnacentral:rRNA from 1 species
ACGCACGCUGGCGGCGUGCUUAACACAUGCAAGUCGAACGGUGAAGCGCCUUCCUUUUUGGUGGGUGUGGAUGAGUGGCGAACGGGUGAGUAACACGUGAGUAACCUGCCCCCUUCUUCUGGAUAACCGCAUGAAAGUGUGGCUAAUACGGGAUAUUCUGGGUCUGUCGCAUGAUGGGUCUGGGAAAGAUAUUGUUUCGGUGGGGGAUGGGCUCGCGGCCUAUCAGCUUGUUGGUGGGGUGAUGGCCUACCAAGGCGGUGACGGGUAGCCGGCCUGAGAGGGUGGACGGUCACACUGGGACUGAGACACGGUCCAGACUCCUACGGGAGGCAGCAGUGGAGAAUAUUGCACAAUGGGCGCAAGCCUGAUGCAGCGACGCCGCGUGAGGGAUGGAGGCCUUCGGGUUGUGAACCUCUUUCGCCAGUGAAGCAGGCCUGCCUCGUUUGUGGGUGGGUUGACGGUAGCUGGAUAAGAAGCGCCGGCUAACUACGUG